rnacentral:rRNA from 1 species
GAUGAACGCUGGCGGCGUGCCUAAUACAUGCAAGUCGAGCGAACAGACGAGGAGCUUGCUCCUCUGACGUUAGCGGCGGACGGGUGAGUAACACGUGGAUAACCUACCUAUAAGACUGGGAUAACUUCGGGAAACCGGAGCUAAUACCAGAUAAUAUUUUGAACCGCAUGGUUCAAUAGUGAAAGACGGUUUUGCUGUCACUUAUAGAUGGAUCCGCGCCGCAUUAGCUAGUUGGUAAGGUAACGGCUUACCAAGGCAACGAUGCGUAGCCGACCUGAGAGGGUGAUCGGCCACACUGGAACUGAGACACGGUCCAGACUCCUACGGGAGGCAGCAGUAGGGAAUCUUCCGCAAUGGGCGAAAGCUUGACGGAGCAACGCCGCGUGAGUGAUGAAGGUCUUCGGAUCGUAAAACUCUGUUAUUAGGGAAGAACAAAUGUGUAAGUAACUAUGCACGUCUUGACGGUACCUAAUCAGAAAGCCACGGCUAACUACGUG